AUGUUGCUGCGGUUAAAGGCUCGCAGUUGAAUGUCGGUUAAUAUACGCGUAGGGAUGCCGGGACGUUGCAAGCUCUGCUCGCCUCUGUGCAGCAUUGUGAGCCGUCUCUCCAAGUGCAUCUCUGGCGGGCUAACGAUUAGAUCGGUGGCACAGAGUGAGUCGCUCGUCGCGCCAUCCUUUCGGGGUUGGCCGGCGGGUCUCGUUCGCACGUGUCGCCGAUUGACACCUUGAGUAAAUCAGAGUGCUUAAAGCAGUCGUUGAAACACUACGGCUGCGACUUACCCUCUCGCGAGGCACGGGUCGUAUGUCUAUGGUGACGUCGUAAGACGUUUGGACAUUGUCUUUGCUUUGCAUGGUACGUCGGAAGACGCCGUGUGAGUUGGUUGCGCUUACGGUCAGACACACCAGCUGUGUGUGCGCGUGCACCAACGAGCUCGGAAUGAACUGAAAGGGAUGGCUCGAAGGCAUUGGUAUUGCGGGGCGAGAGGUGAAAUUCUAUGACCCCCGCAAGACUUCCCGAAGCGAAAGCGUCUGCCUAGGACGUCUUCAUUAAUCAUGAACGAAAGUUGAAGGAUCGAAGGCGAUCAGAUACCGCCCUAGUUGCAACCGUAAACGAUAUCAACCAUCAAUCCGUCAAAGCGUUCCCUUGCGUUCUCGUGGUCUGGCUUCGCGGCCGGCCUCGGGAGCAAAGUGUAAGCGCUUGAUGGGCAGCUCUUCUAUCACGGGAAACCAGAGUGUUUCGGUUCCGGGGGGAGUCUGGUUGCAAAGCUGAAACUUAAAGGAAUUGACGGAAAGGCACCACCAGGCGUGGAGCUUGCGGCUCAAUUUGACUCAACACGGGAAAUCUCACCAGACCCGAACAUCUCUAACGAUUGACAGAUUGAAAGCUCUUUCUUGAUGAAGUGGAUGGUGGUGCAUGGCCGUUCUUAGUUGGUGGAGUGAUCUGUCUGGUUAAUUCCGAUAACGAACGAGACUCUCCCCUGCUAACGGACCUCAGUGUUUUUUUAGACGGUGCGAUUCGGAUAAAGGGACCAUGGGCGUAAGCCCCGGUCUCAGACGACGUCCACUGAUCCUUGGUACGUUGGUGCAGUUCUCGCCGGUGAUGCUCGCCUCCUGUUCCGCUGUUAACCGGCGGGGCGUCUGGUGGUGCGGUGUCGCCGUGUGUGCGCUCACCGACAAAGUGCCUCGGAGUACGUUUCUUCUUAGAGGGAUUGACGACUUAUAAGUCGUAAGAAACAGGGAGCAAUAACAGGUCUGUGAUGCCCUUAGAUGUUCUGGGCUGCACGCGUGUUACAAUGCCGGUAUCAACGGGUUCUUACACUUUCAGUGGCCUACUCCGAAAGGAGCGGGUAAACCUUUGAAAUACCAACUGCAUACUUACCUCGUGUAAGGCGCAAUUACGGCAUGCUUGGGACUGGGGAUUGCAAUUAUUCCCCACGAACUAGGAAUGCCUUGUAGUGGCGGGUCACAGAACCCGCUGCGAAUCUGUCCCUGCCCUUUGUACACACCGCCCGUCGCUACUACCGAUUGAGUGUACCAGUGAGAUUUUUGGACUGGCGAACCGCGUUCCUCUAGGGGCUCGCGGCGUACGACAAUAAGAGACUCGAACUGGUGCACUAGAGAA
rnacentral:rRNA from 1 species